GGGCCCGCACAAGCGGUGGAGUAUGUGGUUUAAUUCGAUGCAACGCGAAGAACCUUACCAGGGUUUGACAUCCUGCGAAUCUCUUGGAAACGAGAGAGUGCCUUCGGGAACGCAGUGACAGGUGGUGCAUGGCUGUCGUCAGCUCGUGUCGUGAGAUGUUGGGUUAAGUCCCGCAACGAGCGCAACCCUCGCCGUUAGUUGCCAGCAGGUUUGGCUGGGCACUCUAACGGGACCGCCGGUGUCAAGCCGGAGGAAGGUGGGGAUGACGUCAAGUCCUCAUGGCCCCUUAUGUGUAGGGCUACACACGUGCUACAAUGGACGGUACAGAGGGUCGCCAACCCGCGAGGGGAG
rnacentral:rRNA from 1 species